UACGUAGGGUGCAAGCGUUAAUCGGAAUUACUGGGCGUAAAGCGUGCGCAGGCGGCUUGCAAGACAGAUGUGAAAUCCCCGGGCUCAACCUGGGAACUGCAUUUGUGACUGCAUGGCUGGAGUGCGGCAGAGGGGGGGGAUGGAAUUCCGCGUGUAGCAGUGAAAUGCGUAGAUAUGCGGAGGAACACCGAUGGCGAAGGCAAUCCCCUGGGCCUGCACUGACGCUCAUGCACGAAAGCGUGGGGAGCAAACAGG
rnacentral:rRNA from 1 species